UAAGUGCUUCCAUGUUUUAGU
rnacentral:ncRNA from 4 species